AGAAUCAACGCUGGCGGCGUGCCUCAGACAUGCAAGUCGAACGCGAAAGUCCCCUUCGGGGGCGAGUAGAGUGGCGCACGGGUGAGUAACACGUAGGUAAUCUACCUUUGGGUGGGGAAUAACAGCCGGAAACGGCUGCUAAUACCGCAUAAUGCAGCGGCUCGACAUCGAGACAGUUGUUAAAGCGGGGGCUUCGCAAGAACCUCGCGCCUAAAGAGGAGCCUGCGGCAGAUUAGCUAGUUGGUAAGGUAAUGGCUUACCAAGGCAACGAUCU
rnacentral:rRNA from 1 species